CGUCUGUUUACGUAGCAACGGUCCGGAAGAUGUCGCUCAGCCCAGUCCUAAAAAACUUCCGCCUUAAGUUGUAAAGAAAACACAGCAGCUAAAAGGCAAUCGACGGCGGAACCAACCCAUUUAAGAAGCCAGACCAAAGGCUCUUGUCACUCUGGAGCUCGUGUGGUUUUCAGAGUGUGUGUGAGUGUGUGUGAGUGGGUGAGUGUAUGUGUGAGUGUGUGUGAGCUUCAAUUUCCUCCUCACCUUUUCACCAAGAGCUGCUCCUCCCUGGAGGAUGACAAUGGAGGAGAUGAAGAAUGAAGCGGAGACAAACUCCAUGGUAUCCAUGACGCUGUACGCCGUGAUGUACCCCGUUUUCAACGAGCUGGAGAGGAUCAACCUAUCAGCAGCUCAGACGC